rnacentral:rRNA from 1 species
CAGCCGCCGCGGUAAAACGGAGGGUGCAAGCGUUAUCCGGAUUCACUGGGUUUAAAGGGUGCGUAGGCGGAUCUGUAAGUCAGUGGUGAAAUCUCCAGGCUUAACCUGGAAACUGCCGUUGAUACUAUAGGUCUUGAGUUUUGUGGAGGUUAGCGGAAUAUGUCAUGUAGCGGUGAAAUGCAUAGAUAUGACAUAGAACACCAAUUGCGAAGGCAGCUGGCUACACAACUAUUGACGCUGAGGCACGAAAGCGUGGGGAUCAAACAGGAUUAGAUACCCCCGUAGUCCCUGUCUCUUAUAC